rnacentral:misc_RNA from 1 species
GAUGAAGAACGCAGCGAAAUGCGAUAAGUAAUGCGAAUUGCAGAAUUUUAGUGACUCAUCGAAUCUUUGAACGCACAUUGCGCCCUUUGGCAUUCCGAAGGGCAUGCCUGUUCGAGCGUCAUUAUCAACCCUCAAGCAUCGGCUUGGUAUUGAAACUUUAGGUCCGUCACGCGGACCGGUUCGAAAGAUAACGACGGUUGUCUAUGGGGCCCUCGAUGCAAUGAGCUCUCACCAGCACGCAUCAGAGCGGUCUUGUGGCCCGGUCUUUACCUAUAUUUUACAAGGUUGACCUCGGAUCAGGUAGGAAUACCCGCUGAACUUAAGCAUAUCAAUAAGCGGAGGA